CAGCACCUCAAGUGGUCAGGAUGAUUAUUGGGCCUAAAGCAUCCGUAGCCUGCUUUGUUAGUUUUCGGUUAAAUCCAUACGCUCAACGUAUGGGCUGCCGGGAAUACUGCAAAGCUAGGGAGUGGGAGAGGUAGACGGUACUCGGUAGGAAGGGGUAAAAUCCUUUGAUCUAUUGAUGACCACCUGUGGCGAAAGCGGUCUACCAGAACACGUCCGACGGUGAGGGAUGAAAGCUGGGGGAGCAAACCGGAUUAGAUACCCGAGUAGUCC
rnacentral:rRNA from 1 species